rnacentral:rRNA from 1 species
UUCCGGUUGAUCCCGCCGGAAGUUACUGCUAUCGAGGUUCGACUAAGCCAUGCGAGUCGAAUGUAGCAAUACAUGGCGAACUGCUCAGUAACACGUGGACAACCUGCCCUUAGGACGGGGAUAAACCCGGGAAACUGGGUAUAAUACCCGAUAGGUCUCGAUUGCUGGAAUGCAUCGAGAUUUAAAGCUCCGGCGCCUAAGGAUGGGUCUGCGGCCUAUCAGGUAGUAGUGGGUGUAGCGUACCUACUAGCCUACGACGGGUACGGGUUGUGAGAGCGAGAGCCCGGAGAUGGAUUCUGAGACACGAAUCCAGGCCCUACGGGGUGCAGCAGGCGCGAAAACUUUACAAUGCUGGCAACAGCGAUAAGGGAACCUCGAGUGCCAGGUUACAAAUCUGGCUGUCGAGAUGCCUAAAAAGCAUUUCAUAGCAAGGGCCGGGCAAGACCGGUGCCAGCCGCCGCGGUAACACCGGCGGCUCGAGUGGUAACCGUUAUUAUUGGGUCUAAAGGGUCUGUAGCCGGCCGGAUAAGUCUCUUGAGAAAUCUGGCAGCUUAACUGUCAGGCUUUCAGGAGAUACUGUCUGGCUCGAGGCCGGGAGAGGUGAGAGGUACUUCGGGGGUAGGGGUGAAAUCUUGUAAUCCUUGAAGGACCACCAGUGGCGAAGGCGUCUCACCAGAACGGACCUGACGGCAAGGGACGAAAGCUAGGGGCACGAACCGGAUUAGAUACCCGGGUAGUCCUAGCCGUAAACGAUACUCGCUAGGUGUCGGCCACGGUGCGACCGUUGUCGGUGCCGUAGGGAAGCCGUGAAGCGAGCCACCUGGGAAGUACGGUCGCAAGGCUGAAACUUAAAGGAAUUGGCGGGGGAGCACCACAACAGGUGGAGCCUGCGGUUUAAUUGGAUUCAACGCCGGG